rnacentral:rRNA from 1 species
ACACUCCUGCGGGAGGCAGCAGUGGGGAAUAUUGCACAAUGGGCGCAAGCCUGAUGCAGCCAUGCCGCGUGUAUGAAGAAGGCCUUCGGGUUGUAAAGUACUUUCAGCGGGGAGGAAGGCGAUAAGGUUAAUAACCUUGUUGAUUGACGUUACCCGCAGAAGAAGCACCGGCUAACUCCGUGCCAGCAGCCGCGGUAAUACGGAGGGUGCAAGCGUUAAUCGGAAUUACUGGGCGUAAAGCGCACGCAGGCGGUCUGUCAAGUCGGAUGUGAAAUCCCCGGGCUCAACCUGGGAACUGCAUUCGAAACUGGCAGGCUAGAGUCUUGUAGAGAGGGGUAGAAUUCCAGGUGUAGCGGUGAAAUGCGUAGAGAUCUGGAGGAAUACCGGUGGCGAAGGCGGCCCCCUGGACAAAGACUGACGCUCAGGUGCGAAAGCGUGGGGAGCAAACAGGAUUAGAUACCCGAGUAGUCCC